GAGUACAGCCCAACCACCCUGAGCACGCCCGAUCUUGUCUGAUCUCGGAUGAGAUCAGAGUAGGUUUGAGCCUGGUUAGUACUUGGAUGGGGCAAGACCAGGUGCUGUUUGAG
rnacentral:rRNA from 1 species